GUGAAUCAUCAAAUCUUUGAACGCAAAUUGCACUCUCCGGUUUUCCGGGGGAGUAUGCCUGUUUGAGGGUCAGCCUAAAAAAAAUCGACAUUGUUGCUGUGAUUUAAUUGUGACUUUCGUCGGAGAUUGGGUUAUCUUAAACCUUUUUUUUUUUGUUUUAAGCUACUUAAAAUUUUUCUUCACGUUUCCAUUUCCGUUUCUAGGAUUUUUAUUUCUUAUACUUUUAAGUUUUAUCUUUCUUUUAUUAUACUUGACCUUCGCAUCG
rnacentral:misc_RNA from 1 species